UGGGGAAUAUUGGACAAUGGGCGCAAGCCUGAUCCAGCCAUGCCGCGUGAGUGAUGAAGGCCCUAGGGCUGUAAAGCUCUUUCACCGGUGAAGAUAAUGACGGUAACCGGAGAAGAAGCCCCGGCUAACUUCGUGCCAGCAGCCGCGGUAAUACGAAUGGGGCUAGCGUUGUUCGGAUUUACUGGGCGUAAAGCGCACGUAGGCGGACUUUUAAGUCAGGGGUGAAAUCCCGGGGCUCAACCCCGGAACUGCCUUUGAUACUGGAAGUCUUGAGUAUGGUAGAGGUGAGUGGAAUUCCGAGUGUAGAGGUGAAAUUCGUAGAUAUUCGGAGGAACACCAGUGGCGAAGGCGGCUCACUGGACCAUUACUGACGCUGAGGUGCGAAAGCGUGGGGAGCAAACAGG
rnacentral:rRNA from 1 species